rnacentral:rRNA from 1 species
AGUCGAGGAGUAAUCUAAGACCUAGAGCGGCGCACGGGUGCGUAACGCGUAUGCAACCUACCUCAUACAGGGGGAUAGCCCGGAGAAAUCUGGAUUAAUACCCCAUGGUACUAUGAAGCGGCAUUGUUUUAUAGUUAAAGAUUCAUCGGUAUGAGAUGGGCAUGCGUCUGAUUAGCUAGUUGGCGGUGUAACGGACCACCAAGGCGACGAUCAGUAGGGGUUCUGAGAGGAAGGUCCCCCACACUGGCACUGAGAUACGGGCCAGACUCCUACGGGAGGCAGCAGUAGGGAAUAUUGGGCAAUGGACGAGAGUCUGACCCAGCCAUGCCGCGUGCAGGAAGACGGCGUUCUGCGUUGUAAACUGCUUUUAUCUGGGAAGAAAAGGCCCAUGCGUGGGACAUUGCCGGUACCAGAUGAAUAAGCACCGGCUAACUCCGUGCCAGCAGCCGCGGUAAUACGGAGGGUGCAAGCGUUGUCCGGAUUUAUUGGGUUUAAAGGGUGCGUAGGCGGCUAUUUAAGUCAGCGGUGAAAGACAUCGGCUCAACCGAUGCAGUGCCAUUGAUACUGGAUA